CCUACGGGGGGCAGCAGUGGGGAAUAUUGCACAAUGGGGGAAACCCUGAUGCAGCGACGCCGCGUGAGUGAAGAAGUAAUUCGUUACGUAAAGCUCUAUCAGCAGGGAAGAAACACUGACCUUACGGUCAGCAGACGGUACCUGAGUAAGAAGCCCCGGCUAACUACGUGCCAGCAGCCGCGGUAAGAAGUAGGGGGCCAGCGUUAUCCGGCUUUACUGGGUGUAAAGGGAGAGUAGACGGUGCGCCAAGUCUGGAGUGAAAUGCCGCGGCUUAACUGCGGAAGUGCUUUGGAAACUGGCGAACUAGAGUGCGGGAGGGGUAAGCGGAAGUCCUAGUGUAGCGGUGAAAUGCGUAGAUAUUAGGAGGAACACCGGUGGCGAAGGCGGCUUACUGGACCGUAACUGACGUUGAGGCUCGAAAGCGUGGGGAGCAAACAGGAUUAGAUACCCCGGUAGUC
rnacentral:rRNA from 1 species